rnacentral:rRNA from 1 species
GACGAACGCUGGCGGCGUGCUUAACACAUGCAAGUCGAACGGAAAGGCCCUGCUUGCAGGGUACUCGAGUGGCGAACGGGUGAGUAACACGUGGGUGAUCUGCCCUGCACUUCGGGAUAAGCCUGGGAAACUGGGUCUAAUACCGGAUAGGAGCCAUUUUUAGUGUGAUGGUUGGAAAGUUUUUUCGGUGUAGGAUGAGCUUGCGGCCUAUCAGCUUGUUGGUGGGGUAAUGGCCUACCAAGGCGGCGACGGGUAGCCGGCCUGAGAGGGUGGACGGCCACAUUGGGACUGAGAUACGGCCCAGACUCCUACGGGAGGCAGCAGUGGGGAAUAUUGCACAAUGGGCGCAAGCCUGAUGCAGCGACGCCGCGUGGGGGAUGACGGCCUUCGGGUUGUAAACGCCUUUCGCUAGGGACGAAGCUUUUUGUGACGGUACCUAGAUAAGAAGCACCGGCUAACUACGUG